CAAGUAUCUGGUGGAAAACCACGUCCUGUCUCCUGGUUUAUAGCGGGGUGUGGGUCUUCUGUAACAAUCAGCUUGUUAUUUGGAGGUUUGAGACGCUUGUUGUAGUCUUUGGAGGAUGUAUGCCACCACCUGCUCGCUAUGCCGGAACCAUUCAUCCACCACAGGUGAGUUGGUGGGAGUGGUGUUGCAAGGAAACAGGGGUGGCUGAUAACCCAGUGCGCACUGAGUGGCUGAACGGCAAAGGGAGUUUUGGGCAUACUCUGCCCAGGAACUGUGACCAGUCUGCAGGGUUUUGGCUACAAAAAGAGCGGAGCAAGUGGCCUAUCUCCUGGUUGGCCCAAUCAACCUGGCCAUUGGACUCUGGGUGCUAUCCCAAGGUGAGGCUGACUGUUACUCUGUGUAUUUCCUUGAAACUGGCCCUGAGGGGGUGCUAGAGAUCCCAUGUGGCAUGACGCGAUAUUCAUAAUGGCCAGUCGCUGUACUGAAUGCCAUUUUCCACUCGUCCCCUUCCCGUAUCCGCACCAGGUUGUAUGCACUUCGGAGGUCCAUCUUGGUGAAGUACUUGGUGGUUCGCAGCUGUUCCAGGGCUGAGGUGACUAGUGGAAGGGAAUAUGAAUACUUGACUGAGCACUGGUUGAGCCCCCAAUAGUCAAUAUAUGGUCUGAGGCUGCCCCCCUUCUUGGCCACAAAGAAAAAGCUUAUUGCAGCGGGUGACGUGGAGUGAUGGAUAUUGCCUUGUUGCAGUGCCUCAUCCAGAUUGAAAAGACUGAAACCAGGAAGCAAAGACCAAUAAUAAUGACUUGGAAAUGACAGAACACAUUACUUUUCAGUGAGGCUGAAACAGAAUGAGGCUUAUAUAGGUGAACAGUGAUGAGUCAGUGAUUACAAACAGGUUUGUGGCGUUAAAAGUCCGGUGACUGUGAGCGUGGAAGUGUAUGUCUGCUAUGUAUGCUGGGAAAUGGAGUUCGAGUUGCGGUUUAACCUAAUAGCUGUAAUCUUACAGCAUGCUGCUGUGUAGGCUAGUGUCCAUCUUCAUCAGAUGUGGCUCCAUGCACGUACAAUUAUGAAAGACACAAAGUAGCCCACUAACUCUAGCUAGCUAUCUGAAAUACAAGUAUCAUGUCUUGUUUCUUCCCAUUUGUAUAGUUUGUUUACUCUUUCUGUAAGCUGCAUGAUUUUAUUAUUUAUUAUCUAAACUUUGCAUUUUGUUCUCCAGCCUGUCAACACUUUAGGCACGAGCCAAAUUAUGUGUUAGCACACUAGUCAAAACACAUAGCAAUAUGUUAAUAUGCACAAGUUAAAUACAAGGAAAUAACACAGUCACUAGCUUCCCAAUAAAUUAGUGAAUAAAUAAUCAAUUCUACUGUCAAACUUCUUUAUUACCUAAAGAUGAGGCAUGAUGAUUAUUGAUGUAUCUGAGCUGGUAUAUAACCUAGGUGUACAAAUUUCCUGCUAAUUCUCACCUGACACCCCUGACACAGGGUUCACUGUAAAGGCUGACUGUGUAUUACUAUUACAGCAUUGUCUGUGGGACUCACAGAAGGUCAGGAACAUUACAUUUGAGCUUUUUUGUCCCAUGCCUCAAUAAUCAUGUUUUUUUUCCUCUGACUUUUAAUAAAAAAUUUACUUAUUACAUCACAACCUUGUGCAUAAAAGAAGGUCCAACCACUAUCAGUGGCUUUGUUUACAUGCACUUCAAUAUUCCAAUAUUAAUCAAAAUUUGACAAUAUUCUAUUUAGCACUGAGUCAUGUAAACACCACAGUCCUAUUGCCUGAUUCAGAUUAAGACAAUGCUCUGAUUCCCCAAAUUCUGAUUUCCAGCCCUGGAAUACGCCUGUUUUAAUCGGAAGUUUGUUGCAUGUAAACACCUUAUUCAGAAAAUCCCUUGAAAAGAGAGAUAUGUGCAUGCUCAGUUCACAAGGAAUUGUGGGUGCUAACAGAUGCUUCGCUGUAGACUAGGUAUUUAGGAAUAGCAACUCAGGCAUACUUACAGCAACCAUGUAUACAGGAAUAUUCGAUGCCUGUAUGCGUAUAAACAUUGUAUUCGGAAAAUGGCUGCAACCUGAAUAUAGACCCUAAACAGAAUUUGAUGUGCAUGUAAACAUAUCCAAUGACUGCUGCAUAACCAGCUUUGAGCCUGAUGGUGAACAGGGAGGAUACCCCAACAUAAGACCCUGUUAGGCCUGUUAUAUUUGCUAUGUAGUCAAGUACAGAUAUGUGACCGCAAGUGCAUAAGUUGAUGCUUGAGUCUUUUACUUCCAGUACAUACCUUAUGCACAUUCUGGCACCCUGUUGGAGUCAUACACUGCUAAUUUGCAAGGGGGCUGUAAAGUAAAAGCUGCAGUGUGACAGAGAUAUGAAAUGACUUCUAUUUUCAUAAAUGCAUUCUUCUGCGAUUUGGAUGUGCCUGAGGUAAUACUCACAUAUAGCGCCUUUAUUGGCAACACCUGGAACUUUGCUCCACAUUAUAAACUUUGGACACAUGCAAAUUCUACGUGCAAAGGCUGGGAAUGUCCCUUUCUGUGCUAGGAACUCAUGACCUGAUCAGUAGUCCAGUUGUUUUCAAUUGUUUGCUGAUUAGUUAGCUACCAAAAUAUUAGCCAGAAAAUAGUUUGUUGUUAUGUUUUUAGCUUGCUAGCUAAGGUUAACCAGUUAGUUCAUGAACAGUGUGUGUUUCUCGGUUUUAAUUUUUUUUCAGGUCUUAGACACACUUAGAUCACAGCACUUAAUCACUUUUGGCAUUUGUGUUUUUGCAUUUGUGACACUGUGCUUCUUAGCUAGCAUGCCAAUAUUAUAUAGCUGCUUCUGUAACACUCUGUUUGACUGACUUUAGUCUUCUGAGUAGGUAUGUGUCGGCCAGGUGUGUGUGAAUGGAAGCUCUGGCCUCUUUCAGAUUCCGUGAUUUAUUUUACAGUCAGCUCUGUGUGAGGUUUUUCUCUUGUUGCAUUCCUUUGGUCCACCUGUGCUCACUCGGCAAAAUUAACUACUUGACUCUAUGACUUCACUGCAUAAAACUGAUGCUUCACGGUAUUGUUGGCAUGCAGGCUGUGUGUGGCAUGGCUGCAUUAGAUAUAUCAAAAGGCCAUUCUGAUAGGAGCUAAAGAUUUUAGAGGAUGCAGCUACUUCUACUUUUUGUUUUUGUUUUCGAAUUGAAAGUGAGAAACACAACAUACACAUAAAUGUUGUUUUCAAACCCGGUACCCCCAAUUUCUCAUUAUUUAUGCAGUGCUGGAUAUGGCUUGAGUCCAUAUGCUUACAUAUACUAUAUGGUCAAAACUUUGUGGAAAUUCCAGAUUUAGGCCCCCUUUGUGGUUAUAAUAACUUCCACUCUUCUGGGAAGUCUUUCUACUAGAUUUUGGAGUGUGGCUGUGGGGGGAUUUGUCCAUUCAGCCACUAGAGCAUUUUGAGGCACAGCACUGAUGUUGAGUGAGGAGGCCAGUUGGCAUUCCAUUUUAUACCAAGGUUGUUCAGUGAGUUUGAGGUUAGGGCUUUUUGCAGGCCACUCGAGUUCUUCCACUCUAAAUUGACAAACCUUGUUGUCAUGCUGGAACAGGUUGACGUCUCUUCACAUCCCUUGCUAUUUGGUGCACCCUUGGUGGUGACAUUCAUUUCAAGGAGCUUACUUUCAUUUUUAUGUUUUUCAGACACUUUCCAGCCUUGCUGUGAAGCAUCUGUCAUUACUAUUUUAAUUUUUUUCUGUUAUGAAUGACAGCCAUUGAGCAUUCAAUCAAUGCUGUAAUGGUCUGAGGUAAAGCAUUUUACCACUGGAGCUGCUGCUGUCAACAUCACUUCCUGUAAUAGUGCUUUUAACAAGAGACAAUGUCACAAAGCAGCUUUACAGGAAUCCGGAUGUAGAUUUAGAUCCCUAAUGAGCAAGCCAGAAGCAACAGUGGCAAGGAAAAACUCCCAGAGACCAGAUGAAACCUUAAGAGGAACCAGACAUGAAACCUUAAGAGGAACCAGAUUGAAAAGGGAACUCAACUUCUUGGUGACCCCAGAUAAUGCUGUUCUAAGUCGCUAGUCUUCCACAGCUGUAUACUAUAACGUUAAACAGUACAAAGAGAGUCAGGAUCAGAUCAGGCUGCAUAAGUCACUUGCUUUAGAGAGAGAAAGAACAUAUUAUUAGAUAUGUUCUAAUCCUUCGGUGCUUUAGGGAGUGUACAUUGUGAUCAGAGUGGAAGCAGGAACUCCAGCAGGUCUAGCCAUAUAAGAAUAGCUAAAAGAGAGAGCCAAAAGAUAAUACUGGAAUGAAGGCACCCCGGGACAAAAAGCAUCCUGCUUCUCCACUAUCAACAAGCCUAAGUUUUAUGAGGUUGGGUGGGUGACAGCAUUAAAACAUCCCAGUUUACCAAAUCUCUCUGUCCUAUGAACACUCCCCAUCCCCACGUUUGGAUCUGGAGCUUGUUCAUGCACCUGCUGGAGCAUCCAGACAACAGUGCAUUAUAAUAUUCUGACCUAGCGGUAACACAAGCAUGGACUGUUUUUUUUUUCUGCAUCCUGUAGUGAAAUUAUACUCUGAAUGGACAAAUGUUUGUGGAUACCUGUCCAUCAGACCCACAUGUACUUUUUUAACAUCCCAGAUUUCCACAUUUAAUUCCGUCUUUGCUGUUUUAAUAUUAACCAUUCAUUUGGGAAGGCUUUCCACUAAAUUUUGGCACAUGACUGUGGGGAUUUGCCCAUUCAACCAAAAUAAAAUUAGUGAGGUCAGGGUGAGGAAGCGUGGGGUGCAGUCUGCAUUCUGAUUCAUCCCAAAGGUGUUCAGUAGGAUUGAGGUCAGGGGUCUGUGCAGGACACUUGAGUUCUUCCAUGUCAAACUUGGCAAACCAUGUCUUCAUGGACCUCUCUUUGUGCACAGGAGCACUGACAUGCUGGAACAGGUUUGGGCUUGACCCCUUAGUUCAUAGAAGGGAAAUUGUAAUGCUACAGCAUAUAAAUACAUCCUAUACAAUUGUGUGUUUCUAAAUUUGUGAUAAGAGUUUGCGGUAGACUCACACAAGGGUAUGAUGGUCAAGUGUCCACAAGGACAGUGAGGUCAAAAAAGGCUAUCCUAGUAAAUAUUGUCUAUACGAGGUUCAAGUGAGAGCAUACAGUAACCAGAAAGUUGCCUUGGUCCUAGUGGAAGUACUUCUGUCUUCUCAGAAUUAAUUAGGAGGAAGUUACUCAGCAUCCAGUGUCUAGUGUCCUUAACCCUAUUAAGCUGGUUUCUGUCAUCUGACUUUGCUUAAAUACCAUGCUAAUGCCAUGUUUAUGAAUAAUUCUACCCAGAGGUAGCAUAUGUAGAGUAAAGAGCAGCUGGCCUAGAAAAGGGCCUUAAAAUUUGUAUGCAUAGAGCAGUCACAAUUGAUAACAGUAACAAACUGAUAACAGUAAGUCAGAUAAGACUUGUGCUGCCUGGUCCUAACUCGCAACAAUCCCUGAGAGGAUCGUUAGUGAUUAACUAGCCCAUUCAGUGACUAUGAGCUAUGCUGCAAAAAGUGAGAUCAGUAACUUCCCAAGUGGGGUGGAUACCAUCCAACUUUAAAAAUCCAUUCUUGCCCUCAAAAGUACUGAAAUUACCUACAAAGUCCAGGAACCGUAACCUGCUGUAAGCUACACCAUGUAUGCUGCCACAGAAACCUCUGACUAAUGAAGGCAUAUAUCAUUAGCUUCUACAUUAAUAACUAUCUUGGAAAAGCUGCUUAUUCUUAAAACCCCAAGAAAUGUCUGCCUCCCUGACACCUGAACUACUGCUCAUGGUGCCCCUAAAGGCCUAGCAAUUUAGUUUUGCCCUCUGCAGUGAGAGACCUCACAUGAUCCAAGAUGGUGGCAUGAAGUAGUACGCAGCGGCCUCUCCGGAUUCAAAAUGUUUUUUUUUUUUUUGUUUCUUAGCCUGAUUUUUUUUUUUUUUUUUUUUUUAACAGUACAUGGACAUCGGAGCGACCGGUGUUUGUGUAUACCAUCGGCAGACACUGUUGAAAUAUAGAAAUCAUGCAACAACCAACCUGCAUGAUGGUCUGCUUGAGAAGCUAUGCAAUUUUGCUUGCUGUGAGGACCAGGCCUCCAGCCCUCAGUGUCACCUGAUGCUGGUGGCUGGGGGAGGGGAUGUCAUAAGCAGUGUGUGAGAAAGGGGAAGCACGGCAAAAGGGCAUGCUAGGCUAAAAACAAACCCUAGCCAGUUGGCUCUCCCAUCAAUUCUGCUCUUCAGUGUCUGCUCCCUGGACAAUUAAUUCGACCCGAUCCAACUCCAGCAAUCUACACGGCGUGAGUUUAGAGACUGCUGUGUCUUUGUCUACUCAGGUAUGUGGCUGCCAUUCAGCUAGAGGCUCUCCUCAUUACGCGGCAACAGAAAUGCAGCUCUGUGUGGUAAGACUGGCAGUGGUGGCUUAUGUGUUUACAUCAACACUGCAUAGUGCAAGAACCCUGUGCUAAUUUCUAUUUACUGCUCACUGUGGAGUUUGUGACCGUUAGGUGCAGACCAUUUUAUUUAACAUGGGAAUUCACCACUGUCCUUAUAAUCGGAGCGUGCAUUCCCCUCAGUGCUAAUAUGAAGGUAGUGCACUGUGAACUGUUUGGGGCUAUGAACAAACUGCAGAAUACACACCCUGAUGGACUGUUUAUUGUUGCCAGAGGUCAAUGCUCCGUAAAAUCCAUUAACGUGGAUCUUGCACAGAGAGGGGCGAACGCUCUGGAUCUUGUUUACACAAACAUCCCCAGCGCAUACUGGGCAGAGCCCCACCCCCACCUCGACUACUAAUCCCAUCAUACAGACUACUCAUCAGAUGUACCAAACUGAUUUUGAAGUAGGAGAAAACCUGGCCAGCAGGAACCAUCUCUGCUCUUCAGGACUGUUUUGGGCACACUGCUUGGUACAUGUUCAGGGAGGCUGCAACUUAUAGCGACUCCAGCAGCUUAGAGGAAUACACAGCAUUAGUGACCAGCUACAUCAGCAAGUGCAUUGAUGGCAUCACUGUCUCCAAGACCAUCAUAUUCAGACCAGAAGACUGUGGAGGUGCAUGCUCUGCUGAGGACCUGAGUCUAUGCCUUCAGAGCAGGAGAUAAGGCGGCACUAAGAACAGGGAUGGCCAAACUGUCCCGGGCCAUCAGAGAGGCAAAGCAUGCAGAAAAUCCACAGCCACUUCCUGGACAGUGGCUAUAUGCAGCGCAUGUGGCAGGGCACUCACGCCAUCAGCAAACAUAGGACAACAUCACCCACCUGUGACAGUGAUGCCUCCCUUCCAGAUGUGCUGAACAACUUCCACGCUCAGUUUGGUGAGGAAGACCAUCCCUCUUCCCAACAACCAGGUGCUGUGUUAACCACGGCUGAUGUGAGGAAGAUUCCAUGCCGAGUCAACCCACAGAAAGCUGCUGGACCAGACAGCAUUCCUGGCAGAGUGCCCAGAGGAUGUGCAGACCAGCUGGUGGAUGUUCUCACUGACAUCUUCAAUGUCUACAUGAGUAGAGCUGUUGUUCCAAUGUGCUUCAAGGCCACCACCAUUGUCCCUGUACCGAAUGAAGCACGAAUCAAGAUCCUGCUGCCCCCCUCACUUUGCCCCUGCAAUUGGCGUUUCAUCCCAACUGCUCAACAGAUGAUGCCAUAGCCACCACCCUACAUCUGGCCCUCACCCACCCGGAUAGAAAUUACACCUACGUUCGGAUGUUGUUUGUAGACUUAAGCGUUCAACGUGAUCAUUCCUCAGCACCUACAGUAUCUCACAAAACUUGACACCAGCUUCAUAAUUUGACCCAACUGUAUGACCCUGGAAUGGCGUUGGAAUGUCUUUUCUUAGAAGACCAUUGCCAGGGAUGUGUGCAACAGCAGGGAUGCACUGAUGGAUAAAGUCUGUUUGGAUUUCAAGUACCAGUGGAUUUGCUCAUAUACACAAGGAUUCUGGACCAAGUUCAUAAGGACCAUUUACGGCAAGUGCACCGUGAGCCAAAAAUGACCCAAUUAUAAAUAGCAAGAUUAAAAAAAUGUAUGGUAUUUGGAAUCUGGGGCAGAAAAGGCCCAGAUGUAACCAAUGCAUUUGUGGCAUUUCAGUUUUUGGAUGAAAGUUACCCAGGUUUACAUGGUAUUACAAACUCUAGAGUUGUGGCAGUGUUCUGGUGUUCAGAUUCGGAUGAUUUAUUUCCUGUCGUUGCAUGAUGCUAUGUGGGUCAAAUGAAAUGGUAAGUGUGGGACAGCAUUUGGCCAUUACUCAUCUGCUAUCAAUAUAAUCUUUAACUCAUCUGAAUGCCACCUAUGAUGUCAUCUCUGCGGGGUGCAUGAUGAAAUAAAAAACAACAACCCAAAAACAUUGUAUUAGGCAGUAAGUGCGCUAAGAUACCAAUAACUGUUUUAUAACAAGGGUGCAUACUUUAUUUAUUUUUUCUUUUA
ensembl:lncRNA